rnacentral:rRNA from 1 species
CCUACGGGAGGCAGCAGUGAGGAAUAUUGGUCAAUGGGCGCUAGCCUGAACCAGCCAAGUCGCGUGAGGGAAGACGGUCCUAUGGAUUGUAAACCUCUUUUGUCGGGGAGUAAAAGGCGCCAUGCGUAGUGUUUCGAGAGUACCUGAUGAAAAAGCAUCGGCUAACUCCGUGCCAGCAGCCGCGGUAAUACGGAGGAUGCGAGCGUUAUCCGGAUUUAUUGGGUUUAAAGGGUGCGCAGGCGGAAGAUCAAGUCAGCGGGAAAAUUGUGAGGCCCAACCUCAUCGAGCCGUUGAAACUGGUUUUCUUGAGUGAGUGAGAAGUAUGCGGAAUGCGUGGUGUAGCGGUGAAAUGCAUAGAUAUCACGCAGAACUCCGAUUGCGAAGGCAGUAUACCGGCGCGUAACUGACGCUCAUGCACGAAAGUGUGGGUAUCGAACAGGAUUAGAUACCCGAGUAGUC